UGCUUUGUACUCGUCUAAGUCUCUGCGCAUUUUAUGAAAGAAAGCCAUCCAUGGAUAAACAUUCCCACUUCUGUUCGCUGUAGGCCUGCAACGUUGAUGAAAACCAGUGUUUUUCUGAGUUCAGGUGCAGAAAGGUCUUUAAAACAAAGACAAGAUGUUAAAUUAGGAUUCUGGUGAAACCAGGGCGUUAGUGCAAUGACAGGAAUGAGUCAAACAUCCUGUUUAUUGCUUUUCAUUUAUGUUUUUUCCAUUAAAUUUCAGUAUGAGUGCAGCAGCAGUGCGCAUGGCCAGCAUUAGUCAUGACUGCCCUGAGAGUUUUAAUAAUUAUGAUGCUAAUCGUGUCCCAAAUGACACCUCGGUGAUCCGCCCACAUCGUGUUUUCACUUCUGCCGACAUGGAAGUUCUAAUUACUCACCCGACUGGCAAAUCUCUCUCAUAGCCCGGUGUGGGCUUAUCUUUCUGCUGCGCCGUCUCGUGAUUUGAAUCAGAGUAACGUUUGUGCCACCUCACAAAUUUUGGGUGCACUUUGCUCUGCGGCAGCAGUGUGGGUUCAAGUAAAAGCUUGGAGAGAAAACACCACAGUCACCUCAGUUGUGAUGCUCCUCUGCUGCAGUGCUCAGCUGUGUCACCCAUCAGUUACUGCAGCACCACAGCUCUGUCAGCAGUCCCUCUCCCCUGCAGUGUUUGGAAGUGCUCUUCGGCUGCUGCUCCCAUCGGGGGGACGGGCAGUACUGAAAGGAGGCAGACUGACAGGCUGUUUGGCCUCCAGCAGAGAGCGAUUGUAGUCUGAGGUCAGAGGUCACAGUCCAGGGAGCCGAGACAGAAACCAGAUCACAACAGAAGGCUAAUUAUCAUGCACUGUAGCUGGCCUCCUGCUGGGACUGCAUUCGCUUUCACCAGCAGGCCGGAGUGAAGCUUCUGGACCUCCUACAUUUAAAACUGGAGCUGUGAAGAGGCGCUGCUGAAUCAUGUCAGAUGGCGACACCUUCGCCUCUUUGGUGGCACGUGCAAUAACAGCAUUUAUUAGCUCUUUAACGAGCAGCUGUUCUUCUGACACUGGAGGUUCCUCGAGAUCAACUGACUCUGGAUCCCCCGGACUCUGUUGCUGGUUGCACUAUUGAGGGCAACACACACACAGUGCUUCAUUUUCCCCUCGUCUCUCUGUAAAAUGUUUACCCCAGGCACGACACUACCUUCAGAGUCUUAAAUCUUUGCUUCGCCUUCAGUGGCGCAGAUUUGAAUCGGCUCUGUUGUUUCACAAGUUUCAAUGGCAGAAUUCAUAUUUCCAAAUGAUAUAACUUUUUUACAAUCUGAACUUAGUUCUGUAUUUUCUGUAAAUUGUUGAGUUUGUGUCUUAGCUAUGUGGAUGUCAAACAUUUAUGAGAGAGAAACAAGCUUGUAAAGAAAUACUCACCUUCCAUUACAGUGAUGGCAUGCUCCUUGAAAACCUUUACAAUUAUAUCAUCUGUAUGUUUGUGGCCUAAUUCCAUGAAUGUCAGUAUGACAUCUGGCUCUUUCCAUUUCUGUAUCAAAGAGCUGUAAACCAUAUUACUGAUCAAUAUCAUAUUGUCGAUUGUGAUUUUUUUAAGUCUAGGCCAGAUUUUUAUGAACAGCCGUUGGGUGAUGGCAUCAACUUGUUCAGUACAGGAAGGUGAACUGGCAUUUUCAAUGACACGCAUCACCACCUUCUUGAUACAGGUUUCCACAGAUAACCUGUAAUUUUCAGCCUCUUCAGCUUCACACAGGGCUGGAUUCUGCAUAGCCUCGAUCAGGUGAUUUUUAAUGAUAUCGACCAUCAGUUUUCUCAACACUGGGUCCUCCGUCGUUCAAUAACAUCAGUAAAUGUUUUUCUUUACAAAAUGUUUUUGUUACGUAGCUCUUGGUAAAUUGCCCUGUUAAGAUUUUUUUUUUUUUUCAUGUAUAUGCAGAUCCUUUAUCAUGUCGUCAGACAACACGUUUUAACAGAUACUUGUGGAGUUUCUUAGAAGGUUUGUAGUGCGAUUUCUUAGCAGCCCGUGUGAGCACAGCAUCAAUGAGUGCACUCACAUGUUCUUCUUCAUCAUCAUCAUAAUCGCUGACACUAAUUGCCAGAUGAUGAUUUUUUUCUCCAGUAUUGGAAAUAUAUUAGUUUGAAAUUCUUCUGAACGGGUUUCAGAAAUCGCUUUAGCUUUUUCGUCUUCAUCAUCUUUGGCUUUAAUGCACCACAAGAAGAACCUUGGCUAUAGGUUUCUUUUUUUAAGGAAGUGGUGAGCUUUAAAUAUGGAAAUGAUCACCUCUACGUACAGCUGACCUACGGCUAGCGCAAUGAUCACGAGAUCAGGGUUAAUGUCCAGCCGCUUUGUGAUGUCUUUAAAAAUCAACUUUUCAAGUUUUUUAAUCCCCUUGGUCUGAUUUUUAGAGGUUUCUGCUCAACUUGUGCCCACAGAGCUGUGAAGAGGCGCUGCUGAAUCAUUUCAGAUGGCGACACCUUUGCCUCUUUGGAGGCACGUGCAAUAACAGCAUUUAUUAGCUCUUUAAACAAGCAGCAUUUUUACUGACCCUGGAUUCUGUUGCUGGGUGCAUGAUUGA